rnacentral:rRNA from 1 species
GACGAACCGUGCAACGUUGUUCGGAAUCACUGGGCUUAAAGGGCGCGUAGGCGGACUCGCUAGUCUGCCGGUGAAAGCCCCCGGCUCAACCGGGGGAAGUGCCGUGGAUACUGCGAGUCUGGAGGAGGGUGAGGGGCAGUCGUGGAACGCUGGGUGGAGCGGUGAAAUGCGUUGAUAUCCAAGCGGAACGUCCGGUAGGCGGAAGGCGGCCCCCUGGUUCGGAUACUGACGCUGAGGAGCGGAAAAGCGUGGGGGAGCAAACAGGG